UACGUAGGGUCCGAGCGUUGUCCGGAAUUAUUGGGCGUAAAGAGCUCGUAGGCGGUUUGUCGCGUCGGCCGUGAAAUCUCCACGCUUAACGUGGAGCGUGCGGUCGAUACGGGCAGACUUGAGUUCGGUAGGGGAGACUGGAAUUCCUGGUGUAGCAGUGAAAUGCGUAGAUAUCAGGAGGAAUACCGAUGGCGAAGGCAGGUCUCUGGGCUGACACUGACGCUCAUGCACGAAAGCGUGGGGAGCAAACAGG
rnacentral:rRNA from 1 species